GCUGUAGACCCACAACUAGCCCCUCUUAUCACGUUACACACUUGUUAGAAUAAAAAUGUGACCGUCUUCAUUAUCUGUAAGUUUAAAAAAUAAAAUAAAAAACAGUUUCAGCGGCAGUAUUUCAACACACAAAAGUUUGGUUAGGAGACAACUUGCUCACUGGACGAAUUAGUGUCAGUCAUUAAGCUAAUUAGCGAUAACAGCUGGUCAGUCACCGACCUCUGCGACAGCUACAGUCACUACUACAGAAGAAGCAAGAACAUUUCUCUGGAUUUUGUAGCAUAAAAAAAUCAAGGGAGCUGAUUCCAACUGGCAGAGAUAGAGGAUACUUUAAAAAGUGGAUACAAAACAAACUGGACUCAGGUCACGAGGCAGCGUUGGGACUUUCGUGAAGCUCACCAACAGACCAUACCGGUGUGGGAGGAUAUUACCACUGGCGUUGCAAUGCUUCCGUAUCCGUACUCCUGCCUGCUUCUCCCAACUGGGGGCGUGCCAACCUCUAUCUUCCGUAGAUAAUCCACUGAC